rnacentral:rRNA from 1 species
AACGUAGGAGGCGAGCGUUAUCCGGAGUUACUGGGCGUAAAGAGCGUGUAGGCGGGUAUGCAAGUUUGGCGUGAAAGCUCCCGGCUAAACUGGGAGACUGCGUUGAAGACUGCGUAUCUAGAGGCAAGUAGAGGGACGUGGAAUUCCGGGUGUAGUGGUGAAAUGCAUAGAGAUCCGGAGGAACACCAGUGGCGAAGGCGACGUCCUGGGCUUGACCUGACGCUGAGACGCGACAGCACGGGGAGCGAACGGG